CUUAGUUUUCCCCCUAACUUAGUGAUUGCUGGGGAGAUGCAGAGCCUUCGUUUCUUUAUUUUCCACUGUCUUUAAUUCAUGUAAAUAUUCUUUAAAUAGAAAUGAAGUCAUAUCUUCAGGAAAAAAAGAGCUCAUUAUAAGUAAGUCACUGUAACAGCCCUAAGUUGUUGCGUUUAUUUUUUUACAAAAACACAAAGGAAAUGAAUACCUUUACUAAAGUUUCCAUUUAAGAGAAGGAUUCCCAAGCUGUCGAUCUGAAAGCAGAAUGAAGUCCACCACGGCUCGUCCCUGUUGUUGGCUGUGAGACUGGACGACGGCACUAGUUUCCACCCGUGCGGGAACUCAAAUCCACCCAUAAAACGCCAGUGAGGCCCUGUAGUGCCUGUGGCUAUAGGACUCAUUCCUCGCUUUGGGCCAGAUCUGAUCCAAAGGGAUGCCAGCAAAGUCUGCAGCAGACAGGCAUGGCGGUUGUUUGUUUCUUUGUUUGUUUUUGUCUUUUAUACUUCAUUUGAUCAUGAGGUUUCAGAAGCUCCUUUCUCAGCAGCGGGACAGAGAGAGUGUAUCUGUAUGCAUGGGAUGGGGGUAUUUAUUCGUAAAACAGAAAAUGUCUCCAGUGAAGUCAAGUUGUAUGGCGAAUAAAAGGCAUUAAAUAGGGCAUCACCUACUCCAAAUGUGUUUAUGUCCCUUUCUCCUUGACUUAGGUUAUGUCCCUUCCAGAUUUCUGAACUUUCUCACCUGCAAAAUAUGGGUCCAGGCACACUUCUUACUCUGAUUUUAAGCCAUAAAACAAAAGAACAGUGGUAGGGUGACAGAGUAAUGUGUUGUGAUUUUUCAGACUAUGGAGCCAAAGUUCCAUAAACACAAAUUAACCUCUAAAUGAGAGAUUUUAACAAGAAGGCCUUAUCUUGGGACAAGAUCUAAUUAUCAUCUAUUUGUUGUUCAAUGGGAGGAAAACUGAGCUUCUCUGCGGAGGAACAGAAAAAUCUUCUACAGCUGUGAAGCCUGCCCUCUCAUGGAAAACGAGUAAUACUUCAUGCGACUGCUGACUAUAACACGCCAUUUAUAUUUGCAUUUGGAAAUAAAUACAUUAAGCACAAGAAACAAUGUUUGGUUUAGUAAUGGCAGUUAGACAUAUGAUUGCUGACCUAACAAUAUGAGCAUCUUCAAUAUCAUCCUCAAAAAAAAAAAA